ensembl:snRNA U5 U5 spliceosomal RNA
AUACUCUGUUUUCUCUUCAGUUUGUAUAUAUCUUUUGCCUUUUACUAAAGAUUUCUAUGGAGAGGAACAUUUAUGAGUUUGUACCCAAUUUUUUGAGGCUUUGUUUUGGCAAGGCU